rnacentral:rRNA from 1 species
UACGUAGGGUGCAAGCGUUAAUCGGAAUUACUGGGCGUAAAGCGUGCGCAGGCGGUUGUGUAAGACAGAUGUGAAAAUCCCCGGGCUCAACCUGGGAACUGCAUUUGUGACUGCACAGCUGGAGUGCGGCAGAGGGGGAUGGAAUUCCGCGUGUAGCAGUGAAAUGCGUAGAUAUGCGGAGGAACACCGAUGGCGAAGGCAAUCCCCCUGGGUCAAGACUGACGCUCAUGCACGAAAGCGUGGGGAGCAAACAGG